rnacentral:rRNA from 1 species
AUUGAACGCUGGCGGCAUGCUUUACACAUGCAAGUCGAACGGUAACAGGCCUUCGGGUGCUGGCGAGUGGCGAACGGGUGAGUAAUGCAUCGGAACGUACCCAGAGGUGGGGGAUAACGCAGCGAAAGCUGUGCUAAUACCGCAUGUGAUCUGAGGAUGAAAGCGGGGGACCGAGCAGCAAUGUUUGGCCUCGCGCCUUUGGAGCGGCCGAUGUCGGAUUAGCUAGUUGGUGGGGUAAAGGCCUACCAAGGCGACGAUCCGUAGCUGGUCUGAGAGGACGACCAGCCACACUGGGACUGAGACACGGCCCAGACCCCUACGGGAGGCAGCAGUGGGGAAUUUUGGACAAUGGGCGCAAGCCUGAUCCAGCAAUGCCGCGUGCGGGAAGAAGGCCUUCGGGUUGUAAACCGCUUUUGGCAGGAACGAAACGGUGUCCGCUAAUACCGGGCGCUAAUGACGGUACCUGCAGAAUAAGCACCGGCUAACUACGUG